UCGAGUUCGGGUCUUAGGACCCAACUUCCAACCCUUGCUUACCAGUCCAUGUUGCUUUGGCAGCGUCAAAACCUGCCAGAGAUCUUUGCAAACUCAGCCAUUUAAAAUCUGAAGUCUGAAGAAAACAAAAAAUCGCACA
rnacentral:misc_RNA from 1 species